rnacentral:rRNA from 1 species
UGAGGAACAUGACCUUCGGCGGGGGAUAGCCGGCCCAACGGCCGGGUAAUACCGCGUACGACCACAUGGGGACAUCCCUGAGUGGUGAAAGCAGCAAUGCGCCGAUGGAGUGCCUCGCGGCCUAUCAGCUAGUUGGUGAGGUAACGGCUCACCAAGGCGACGACGGGUANCUGGUCUGAGAGGACCGACCAGCCACACUGGAACUGAGAUACGGUCCAGACCUCCGUAGGGUCGG